AUACGGAGGGUCCGAGCGUUAAUCGGAAUUACUGGGCGUAAAGCGCGCGUAGGCGGAUAUUUAAGUCAGAUGUGAAAUCCCUGGGCUCAACCUAGGAACUGCAUUUGAAACUGGAUAUCUAGAGUAUGGUAGAGGUGAGUGGAAUUUCAGGCGUAGCGGUGAAAUGCGUAGAGAUCUGAAGGAACAUCAGUGGCGAAGGCGACUCACUGGGCCAUUACUGACGCUGAGGUGCGAAAGCGUGGGUAGCAAACAGGAUUAGAAACCCCGGUAGUCC
rnacentral:rRNA from 1 species